rnacentral:rRNA from 1 species
UACGUAGGGGGCAAGCGUUGUCCGGAAUCAUUGGGCGUAAAGCGCGUGUAGGCGGCUAGAUAAGUCUGCUCUGAAAGCCCGGGGCUCAACCCCGGGAGGCGGGUGGAUACUGUCUAGCUCGAGUCCGGAAGAGGAGUGUGGAAUUCCUGGUGUAGCGGUGAAAUGCGCAGAUAUCAGGAGGAACACCGGUGGCGAAGGCGGGUCUCUGGGCAGUAACUGACGCUGAGGAGCGAAAGCGUGGGGAGCGAACAGG